UACAGAGGGGGCAAGCGUUAUUCGGAAUUAUUGGGCGUAAAGGGCGCGUAGGCGGCUUGGCAAGUGGAAGGUGAAAUCCCUCGGCUUAACCGAGGAACUGCCCUCCAAACUGCUUCGCUUGAGACCGGGAGAGGUGAGUGGAAUUCCCAGUGUAGCGGUGAAAUGCGUAGAUAUUGGGAGGAACACCAGUGGCGAAGGCGGCUCACUGGACCGGUACUGACGCUGAACGGCGAAAGCUAGGGGAGCAAACGGG
rnacentral:rRNA from 1 species